GUAUGAUAGAGGAAAGCAGAAUUUCUAGUGUAGAGGUGAAAUUCGUAGAUAUUAGAAAGAAUACCAAUGUGCGAAGGCAGCUUUCUGGAUCAUUACUGACGCUGAGGAACGAAAGCAUGGGUAGCGAAGAGGAUUAGAUACCCUCGUAGUCCAUGCCGUAAACGAUGUGUGUUAGACGUUGGAAAUUUAUUUUCAGUGUCGCAGCGAAAGCAUUAAACACACCGCCUGGGGAGUACGACCGCAAGGUUAAAACUCAAAUGAAUUGACGGGGACCCGCACAAGUAGUGGAGCAUGUGGUUUAAUUCGAAGAUACGCGCAGAACCUUACCAACACUUGACAUGUUCGUCGCGACUCUAAGAGAUUAGAGUUUUCGGUUCGGCCGGACGAAACACAGGUGCUGCAUGGCUGUCGUCAGCUCGUGUCGUGAGAUGUUGGGUUAAGUCCCGCAACGAGCGCAACCCUCACUUUUAGUUGCCAUCAUUUAGUUGGGCACUCUGAAAGAACUGCCAGUGAUAAGCUGGAGGAAGGUGGGGAUGACGUCAAGUCCUCAUGGCCCUUACGUGUUGGGCUACACACGUGCUACAAUGGCAUUUACAAUAGGAAGCAAGGUGGCGACAUCAAGCAAAUCCUAAAAAGAUGCCUCAGUUCGGAUUGUACUCUGCAACUCGAGUACAUGAAGCUGGAAUUACUAGUAAUCGCGGAUCAGCGCGCCGCGGUGAAUACGUUCCCGGGUCUUGUACACACCGCCCGUCACACCAUGGGAGUUGGUUCUACCUUAAGGCAAGGUUUAAAACCCUUGACUACGGUAUAGUCAGCGACUGGGGUGAAGUCGUAACAAGGUAGCCGUAGGGGAACCUGCGGCUG
rnacentral:rRNA from 1 species